rnacentral:rRNA from 1 species
AGUGAACGCUGGCGGCGUGCUUAACACAUGCAAGUCGAACGGCAGCGGGGGAGAAGCUUGCUUUUCCUGCCGGCGCGUGGCGAACGGGUGAGUAAUACAUCGGAACGUGCCCUGUAGUGGGGGAUAACUAGUCGAAAGAUUAGCUAAUACCGCACACGACCUGAGGGUGAAAGUGGGGGACCGCAAGGCCCAAUGCUAUAGGAACGGCCGAUGUCUGAUUAGCUAGUUGGUGGGGUAAAGGCCUACCAAGGCGACGAUCAGUAGCUGGUCUGAGAGGACGAUCAGCCACACUGGGACUGAGACACGGCCCAGACUCCUACGGGAGGCAGCAGUGGGGAAUUUUGGACAAUGGGCGAAAGCCUGAUCCAGCAAUGCCGCGUGUGUGAAGAAGGCCUUCGGGUUGUAAAGCACUUUUGUCCUGAAAGAAAUGGCUCUGGUUAAUACCUGGGGUCGAUGACGGUACCGGAAGAAUAAGGACCGGCUAACUACGUGCCAGCCGCCGCGGUAA